rnacentral:tRNA from 1 species
GGGUGAUUAGCUCAGCUGGGAGAGCACCUCCCUUACAAGGAGGGGCGGCGGUUCGAUCCCGUCAUCACCCACCA